rnacentral:tRNA from 1 species
GCCCGGAUGGUCUAGUGGUAUGAUUCUCGCUUUGGGAACCCAAAUCUCAACUGCGAGAGGCCCCGCGUUCGAAUCGCGGUUCGGGCC